rnacentral:sRNA from 1 species
AAAAAAAGAAGAGAAAAAU